CGCCGCAGUUCCCCGGCGGCGCUGGAAGAUGACGACCUGCUGGGGGAGAUCCUCCUCCGUCUCCCUCCUAUGCCGUCCUCCCUCCCGCGCGCCUCCGCUGUCUCCAAGCGCUGGCGGGGCCUCGUCACCGACCACGGAUUCCUCCGCCGCUUCCACGCGCACCAUCGGGAGCCGACCCUCCUCGGCGCCUUCUUACAUCAUCCCGGUGAUAAGCCCAAAUUUACUCCUAUCCUGCCCGCUCCGGACCGCAUCCCUCCUCCGUACCUCGACAAAGGGGCCCGCUUGCUCAGUUGCCGCCACGGCCGCUUCCUCAUCAUACACCGGGAGCGCGUGGAUGUUUUCGUGUGCGACCACACCACCAGCAGCCAUCAUCGUGUGCCAAUUCUACCUGAGUUCAAGGGGCGUUACAUCAAUGGGGCGGUGCUAUGUGCUUCCCGCGAACGGGGCCACGUGCACGGCGAUUGCCACACCACCCUCUUUAAGGUGGUCUUGCUACUUGUGUACGCUAAGAAUGCUCGACCUCUCACCUCUGUUUAUUCCUCUGAGGCUGACACAUGGGCCGAUCUCAUCUCAGCAGAUGUUCGGUAUCAUGGUUGUUUUGACGAUUAUUUUAGCACCCUUGUUGGCAAUGUACUUUACUGGUCAUUUAAGUAUGUGAUGAAGGGUAUACUUGGGUUUGAUUUGGAAAGGCAAAUCCUUGAUGUGAUCGAGGGGCCUCCCCAUAUGUAUCAUUCAGGGAACCAUCAGAUCAUCCAGGCAGAGGAUGGCGCAAGGAAUGUGAAUUGCCACGGUAUAUCCACAUGGAUGUUGUGGAAGACCAUUAAGAUGCAUAAAAUUCUUGGGAUCCCUCCUCAGGUCGAGGGGGAGAAGACAUGGCUGAAAUUUAUACUAGGAUAUGUUGAGGAUACCGACGGGAUAUUUUUAUAUGUGAACGGGAGUGUCUAUAUGGUUCAACUAGAGUCUAUGCAAUCUAGGAAGCUUGGCGACGCCCGUAAUACUAUUUCUUACUGUCAUUCUUUCAGGAGUGUCUAU
rnacentral:rRNA from 1 species